rnacentral:lncRNA from 1 species
CUGACAUUUUGCCUUAGCAUGCAUCUCUGGCCAGUGAUAAUUAACCUGAAGGCUUAAGACAACCAUUCAGAAAGCCCUUGUCCAGCCUGCUAUCUGAUGUGGCCAGCUCUCUAGAGGCUUUCCCAGCACUAAGGGAGUUGCCAGACAACAGCAAGAAGCCUGGAUAAAGAUAUUGUCAUCAUCCUCACUGCAUUAGGAGAAAAAAGGAAAGAAUAGUAAACACCCUUGUGAAAGAUAAAAAGAAAACAAGGAUUUAAAUUUCAUUUUGGCCAACGAGUUCAUCUGGAUGCUCCCAAAUUAAAUUCAACUACCUACAGUUUAGAUCACGUCAAACCUGGGAUUCAAACAAGACUCAAAGAAGGUGACAAUGUACAUGGCAAAAAUUAACAGUUCCACCUGGAACACAAAUGAAAGCAAUGCCUACUAGUGAACUAGUGUUAAGUCAGUACCUCUUUUAUAUUAAGGAAGUGAUGGAACAAAGAUCAGAAGAAGGAGCAGUGGUUGAACUAGAUCCCUCAUUAGUAACAAGGAGGAACUAAGUAAAUCCAAACAAAGGUGACAAACACUUGCAGAAAGUGUUGUUUUGAUUCCUGGAAAAAUAUAUAAAAGGAGGGAUCAUCUGGAAAUUCUAAUUUUUAAAAGGACAUGGAUAAACACAAAUGCUUUAUUUUAUAUUUUAUAAAAAAAUGUUAGGUACACAAGAGGUUAUAAAUACUAAGAAGGUGCUCUUACUUGCAUUUUAAAGCAGUUAAAAUUGCAACGAUGCAUCAAGAAGUAUCACAAAAGACCUGGAAUUUUAAUAAUUUGGAGAAGGCUUCUGAUGCACAAAGGCAGGGGGAGGGAUUAGAUUCUUGAUAUCCAGUUC